rnacentral:rRNA from 1 species
UAAUACGGAGGGUGCAAGCGUUAUCCGGAAUCACUGGGUUUAAAGGGUGCGUAGGCGGCUUGGUAAGUCAGAGGUGAAAGCUCACGGCUCAACCGUGGAAUGGCCUUUGAUACUGCCAGGCUUGAAUGGGCGCGAGGCAGGCGGAAUGUGGCAUGUAGCGGUGAAAUGCUUAGAUAUGCCAUAGAACACCGAUUGCGAAGGCAGCCUGCCAGAGCUCGAUUGACGCUGAGGCACGAAAGCGUGGGGAGCGAACAGGAUUAGAUACCCUGGUAGUCCACGCCCUAAACGAUGCUUACUCGACGUACGGUCUUCGUGAUGGUGCGUCCAAGCGAAAGCGCUAAGUAAGCCACCUGGGGAGUACGCCGGCAACGGUG